CGCAGCCGGUAGAACUCCGAACCUACACGGGAAACCCCAAUGGAUUUCGAGUCCAUCGCCUUGACCACUCGGCCACAUUUUGC